AUUUACCUACGGGGCGCAGCAGGGGGGAAUAUUGCACAAUGGGGGAAACCCUGAUGCAGCGACGCCGCGUGAGUGAAAAAGUAAUUCGUCGCGUAAAGCUCUAUCAGCAGGGAAGAAAUACUGACCUUACGGUCAGCAGACGGUACCUGAGUAAGAAGCCCCGGCUAACUACGUGCCAGCAGCCGCGGUAAUACGUAGGUGGCGCGCGUUAUCCGGAAUGAUUGGGCGUAA
rnacentral:rRNA from 1 species